GUUGCCAUGGCAAUAAUCUGUAAUUGUGCAGAAAAUCCACAGAACUCGUGAGCAACUCCUUAGUGGAUUGGGCUGAAAGAAAAUCAAACCCGUGAAAGCCCUGAAUUGAUGUGGUUAUAAAAGCGCAUUGGCCAAGCUGGCUUUCCUCCCUCUGACCCCCAUCUAACUAUGGUGAACGCCCUCGUUCCCACAGGUCUAAGAAAGUCAAGGACUUGAUAUUUACAAUUCAUUGGCUCUACACAAAUGGAGAUCUGCACUCAGAAGCCACAGAAAAAGAAGAAAAUGCAGUUCACCACCUCCCAGCAGUCCUGGUGGUGUAGGAGGAUGUGCCGAGGCCAAUCUUUGAUGGCUGCUGGUUACUUCCUCAUAGCAGUGUUAGGCUGGGGACAGCAGGCCGGAAAGGAGUGCUUGGAGAGUGUCUUGACCUUCACAGAUGUCUUGCGAAAGGAACGAUCGAAUGGCACACAUCUGUGAAUAGACAGCCACGUCUCUGCUGCCAGAAUACAGCUGCUGAGGUGUUUGGGGCUUACUUGGAGAAAUGAGGACAUUGAUCUGGGUGGAUGGUAGUAGCUGUACACAUACAAAGUACUGUUCAAUUCUUUGCUAAGGUUUUAUGUACACUCUGAGGAUAUCAGAGAAUUCGGAGAAAAUCCAUGGCACAGAUUGGAUGCAUAAUACAUGUAUGUACUU
rnacentral:lncRNA from 1 species